rnacentral:rRNA from 1 species
GACAGAGGAUGCAAGCGUUAUCCGGAAUGAUUGGGCGUAAAGCGUCUGUAGGUGGCUUUUUAAGUCCGCCGUCAAAUCCCAGGGCUCAACCCUGGACAGGCGGUGGAAACUACCAAGCUGGAGUACGGUAGGGGCAGAGGGAAUUUCCGGUGGAGCGGUGAAAUGCGUAGAGAUCGGGAGGAACACCAGUGGCGAAGGCGGCUACCUGGACCAGCACUGACACUGAGGCACGAAAGCGUGGGGAGCAAACAGGG